rnacentral:lncRNA from 1 species
AUGCACUGAUUCCUGUCCAUGGCCCUGUAACGUUCAUGUAGGUAAUCUUGAAAACCAUGGAAACAUGACUGAAUUAGACGGGCUUUUGGCUAAUAUGGACCACUCCAAAGUGUGUGCAUUGCUAGACACACUUCUGGCUUAGCUUCAGUUGAAUUGGAGAUGCUGCUGAGGCUGUCCCAAGCUGGAUGAAAGAACACUGUGUGUAAGAGUGGAACAGUCAAAUGGUGAAAAGUGAAGUUGAAAUCCUGGUCCGCCUCCCUCAUGGGGUUGUUGCCCACCUCAAGAAGAUUAUGUUAGGAGGAGCCUUCCAACUCAGCACAGAUCUCCAAGGAGAAGCUUCACCGGAAGUCAGAGCAUGUCACUUUCUAGAGAUAGGAGAGGAGAAAAGUCGGUGUCUCCUGAGAGAAAUCACUAGCCUUCUUGAUCCUUCUCUAGGUCUCAUUGCUGACCUGGGUCAAAUGAAAGGAAAUAG